rnacentral:rRNA from 1 species
CGUAGGUGGCAAGCGUUUGUCCGGAUUUUACUGGGCGUAAAGAGCGCGCAGGCGCUGGGCAAGUCCGAUGUGAAAGCUUCCGGCUUAACUGGAAAAUUGCAUCGGAAACUGCUCAGCUUGAAGGUGGGAGAGGGUAGCGGAAUUCCCGGUGUAGUGGUGAAAUGCGUAGAUAUCGGGAGGAACACCAGUGGCGAAGGCGGCUACCUGGCCCAUUCUUGACGCUGAGGCGCGAAAGCUAGGGGAGCAAACGGGAUUAGAUACCCCGGUAGUCCUAGCCGUAAACGAUGAACACUAGGCGUAGUCGGUAUCGACCCCGGCUGUGCCGUAGCCAACGCAUUAAGUGUUCCGCCUGGGGAGUACGGCCGCAAGGCUA